rnacentral:lncRNA from 1 species
GCAAACAUGAAAUAUCUAGCACAAAAAGUGAAUUGUAGGUUAAUACAUAUGAAUAGGAAUGCGCUGUCAUCUCAAGAAACAUCUUAUGAAGGUCGAAAUUCAAAGGCAAUGAAGAAGAGAGCUGUCAAACAGUUGACAGCUACAUUUCAAAAUGAGUGAUAUGUAAGGCAAGGUGUCAGCUUCCUUAGCACAAGUAUCUUGUUCACAAUUACUGAUGUCUUGCUUCUCUCUACGUCUCCGUAACCCCCUAGCUCUUUGUAGUUUAUACGGACACACUCGAGUGUAUACCAGAAGAGCGGAAAGCAAAUUCAUCAACGGCAUUAAAUUAAUUGCCAGCAACGUGCAAAUAACUUGGCGCCACCGAAACUGAAACCGAAACUGAACCCGAAACUGAAUCUGACACUGAAAGCCGCUGUCAGCCGCCAAAUAGCUACAAACGCUCUUAGCCUCCGGCUAAUAUACAUAUUAUGGCACCCUACCGCUUCCCCCUCACCACUCAUAAACUCCCGUAAUACCAAAGCCGAACCGAACCCGUACUCAGUCCCCUCUGCCCUCUCUCUACCGCGUCUCUCGACAGUCGUUCAACCUGCUAAAUGCUAAUUAUGGCCCUCGUCGACUUGGCGUUGAUGAUGUUGCCGGCAUUUGGGUCCCGACAACAGAUAUUUGUCGCAUUCGUAUAGCACUUCCAUUCCGUUCCCGGCUACCGGUACCCUGUUGCAGUUGUAAUCGCAUAGCUUGGACGAUCUAAUCAAAGCAAACCAUUGCCAUACCGAUUAGCUAUAUUUAUGGGUCCCCUUUGUCACUCGACAUUGAUAUUGUUUCGGUGUCUGUCCAUUUAACCGCGUUAAUUACACGGCUGAUUGACAUUAAUGCGUUUGCCCGUCGAGGGGCUGCCGUGAUGUCCCAGCCGCAGGCGAUCUUGAUGCAACAACUGAUUCAAAUUGAUAUCUGUUGAAUGGCAGCUGCGUAACAAACAUUUUCCACUGAUUAAUGGUAUUAACAUAAGUUGAACAGGCCAUAUAAUGAAU